ensembl:lncRNA
GCCCAGGAGCCAGGAUUCACCCAGCCCUGCUCUGCCCUCCCCGCGCUGCCCCUCGCCUUCCUGCUCUACCAAAAACCAGAGACAUUCGGGGGCAAUUCUGUCUGGAUUAACGUGUUUCAGACCAGAACGGGUGAGAGCAGCAGAGAAGGGCCGGUGGUGUCCUGCGUGACUCGGGGAUGUGUCACCCUCUCCAGCCACACAGGGCUCAGGAGCAGCAGGGACAUUCCCAUCCCGUGUGACAUCCCCGGCGCUAAAAGGACGGGGUCACUCGCAGUGGCAGGGGACACGCAGCGCCAGGUCCGGCCACCCCCAUCCGUGCCCUGCCAAGCCCCCUGUGCCCCGGGGAGCUGUGACAGCAGCGCCCCAGGCACCGCUGUGCUCCGAGCUGCAGCUUCUCCCAAGAUUUUGGCCGCGAUAUUUUCGCUUUUCCCACAACCGCAGGAGCCUCAGCUGGGGGAGACAAUCCCAGCCCCGGGAGCCCGGCUGGCCCUGCAGAGGGGCCAAGGGGCUUUCCCCAGCUGCCCGCUCUGGUGCGGUGCCCUAAAGCCGGGGCAAAGCGGGUGGGACGCGGCUGCGCUCCCGCAGGAGACGCUGGGGAAAAGCACCGGCUGUGCUUCGUGCUGCGGGACCCCCGGGGGGACGCACGGACCCCCCCGGGCCACCCCAGCCCCGCGGGGGUGCCUGUCCAGCGGGGCGAGGCCCCACGGGAGCGGGGAUUCCCGGGGAGGGGCUGUUGCGGGGACAUUCCCAGGGCGCGGAGCGGGGAACCCCGCGGCGAGGAGCGUCUCCACGGGGAAACCUCGCUCGGGGGGUGCGAGUGCGAAGCGUCCCGACCCUCGAGGGGGUCUCCACGGGAGGGGCGCCCCGCGGGGCCGGUCCCGGUGCCACCCCCGCCGUGUCUCCUCCCUCCCGGCCGCUCCAAGGCGCCUGCGCUGCCCCGCGCCCGCCGCUCCGAGACCAUGGCAUCGCCGGCCGUGGGGCCGUGCCCCCGCCCGCUGCCGCCUCCGGUGCCCGGCUCCAUGCGCCGGCGGCCGCCGGGCCCCGCCGCGUCCCCCGCGCCCGCGGGCGGCCGCUCCCCGGGGAGCCCCGGCGGGGCCAGGGCUGCGCGGCGGCUGCGGCGGCGCGGGGGAGCCCCGCGGCUGCUGCCCGACGUGCGGAGCAUCUUCGCGGCGCCGCGGGAGUCCCCCGAGCGCGGCCGCGGCCACCGCUUCGCCCCGCGGCUGCCGCGCCGCGGAUGGUGCGACCUGUGCGGGGAGGCGGUGCGGGAGCGCGCCCUGCGCUGCGACUGUGAGUGCUGUCCGCGCCUUUCCGCGUCCUGCUGAGCCCUGCCGAGCCCUGCCUGCCCCUCGCUGUCCCGCAGCCCUGCCCUGCCCGCACCCCCAUCCCUCACCCUGCCCGGCCUCUGCCCCCCCCGCACCCUCUCCCUCUCUUUCGCCCCAGCUCUGCACCCCUCAGGGUCCCGCUUUGGUGCCGCGGGGACCUGCCGGGUCCCCCCGCUCCCCCUGGGGGGGUCCCGGGGGGCUGCGCAUCGGGAGGGACUGGACCAGGGUCUCCGGGUGCGGGCGGUGGGCGCGGGUGCGGUGCUGCCGGGCGGGUUUGGGAAAUAAAGCUUUUCCAGGAAAGAGGAGAUGA